rnacentral:tRNA from 1 species
GCUAUUUAAGUGUUCUCACGCACAUUGACUUUUCACGUCAAAGGAGCAUACUCAAUGCACUUAGCU